rnacentral:rRNA from 1 species
CGAACGCUGGCGGCGGGCCUUACACAUGCAAGUCGAACGAGAAAACUCGCUUCGGUGAGUAAGUAAAGUGGCGCACGGGUGAGUAACACGUGGAUAAUAUACCUUCGAGUUCGGGAUAAUCUACCGAAAGGUGGCCUAAUACCGAAUAACAUCAAUUUGCUGAGGCAAAUUGGUCAAAGAUGGCCUCUUCAUGAAAGCUGUCACUUGAAGAUUAGUCCGCGAUCUAUUAGCUAGUUGGUAGGGUAAAAGCCUACCAAGGCCGAGAUGGAUAGCUGGUCUGAGAGGAUGAUCAGCCACACUGGAACUGAGACACGGUCCAGACUCCUACGGGAGGCAGCAGUGGGGAAUAUUGCGCAAUGGGGGAAACCCUGACGCAGCCACGCCGCGUGAGUGAUGAAGGCCUUCGGGUUGUAAAGCUCUGUCAGAUGGGAAGAAACCCUUUAGGUGAUAAGCUUAAAGGUUUGACGGUACCAUCAGAGGAAGCACCGGCUAACUAC